AUUGAGUAUGUGAGAGAGAGAGAGAACUCCCAUCUUGAAAGUAGGUAAGAAAGACUGCUUAAACGUGUGUUGAAAGAUCAAGCACAACACUUCCCACUUAUUCAGCCCCUAAACCACAAGCCUUCAAAUCAAUUAAGCCAGGACAAAAAUGUGGAUAAGAGUUAAUAUGUCACAUGCUGUAAAUAAACAUCCACGGUGUAUCAUACCAAUAUAUUAUAGCAAUCUGGAAUGGCAUUGAUUCUGAGGAGGUUGGAUCUAUAUCAAGCCUGACAGUAUAGUGGGGGUAAACAGGAGUCAUUUCAGGUGAAGUUGCACAAGUCUUAUGACCAGCUUUCCAUGACAACAAAUCACAGUGGAUCUGAAAGAUUUGGAUAGGUAUUAGCACAGCCCUUUUGGUAAGGUAUGGUAAUAGCUCUGAUCAUCUGAGUUGGAUCACUAAUCCCUACAAGACUAUGUGGAUUGCACUACUAUAAUAUUAUUUGUGUGUAUUUAAUGUACCGUCUAAUGUAUUGUGAUUGUACACUAAUGCCAGACAUCUGAAAUUGUCUCUGGAACAUCCAGUUCUAUUCUACAGAAGUGACGAAGGCAAUUUCUUUCCAGCCAGCUGUCACUGAACCAGUAGCACCAGGUUGAUGAAUCAAGAGCUUGCUUUGUCCCUGAGCAUACACACACUGUUGUGUGUUUGCAUAAGAAGCCAACCAGAUUCAACCAGCCACCACCGAACCAUACACAUGUUCCGGAAGGUGCCUGCUUCUCCGUGAUGUGCCUGUUCCUGGUGGGGCCACUGGAGUUGUCAGCAUGUGUGUAACCCAUCAUCCUGGACAGGCCCUUCAUGGAGGGGGGCAUGCGAACUGGGGCCCUGCGCUGGAGAUUCCUCCUGCAGUGUCUGGAAAACCUCCACCGUAGCCUCCAGGCCCUGGGCUCCAUACUGUAUGUGCUCCAGAGGCCCUACCAGGGGACAGUGAGGUGUCUGGUGGUCCAGUGGGGAGUCACUCAACUCAGCAUGGACACAGAGAUAGAGUCCCACACGACACCCAACUGGACCAGGAGCUUCACAUCAUGGCCUGGGAACUGGGCCUCAACAUCACACCACUGUGGCACACAUGCUCUAUGAUGUCCAGGGGUGGAUUAAUGCAGAGGCUUUACCGGGGCUGAAGCCCAAGAGGCAGCAAAAAAAAAUGGGGGAAAAAACGUACUAAAAAAGCCAAACGUAUAUACAUUAUAUAUUAAAUAUGUAGUAUAUGUAUAUAUUUUUUUUUUACUGAAACCGCCAACCACAGGAGGAUUCAGGAGCCUCAAUGAGGGUAGAUUAGUAGAGCGACAGCAGGCAAUCGUCAGAUGGGAUGAGAAGAGUUGAUAGGGCCCCCCAUCGUGGGCCCCCUGUCUUGAUUGGGUAACUGAUUAAAAUUUAAAAACUGCAUAAUAGCCGAAUGUGACUGGUCAGUUGUGUGAGUCAGGGGCUGGGCCCAAGCCCAUAUGGAGCCCAUGAGAUUAAUGUUUUAUUUAAUCCAUUUUAGAUUAAGGCUGUAACGUAACAAAAUGUGGAAAAAGGGAAGGGGUCUGAAUAUUUAACGAAAGGCACUGUAUAUAUAGAUGAAUGGCAUACAUAAAACAAAUCCUCUGCAAUCUGCACACAUUACCCCAUAAUGACAAAGUGAAAACAGGUUUUUGACAUUUUUGCAAACGUAU